ACUUGCAUAUUUUGAAUUAAUAUUGUCGACUCCAGCUCCGACGUUGUUUUGCCCAUCGAUUAGAAGAAUUAAUUCCUGUUCAUUAGUGGGGGCAGAUCCAUUUCAUUUUCUACAUUUGUGAUGAGCUGGAGGGGGUCGAAAGACGAUUUAGGAGUCCUGUCUUUUAACUGUUGUCCAAUCUCACUGAAGAAGUGGUUAAAUGAUUCUGCGAUAUCUGGAUCGUCUAUGAUAAUUUUAUCAUUAGUCCCAAAAAUCCUGGUUGGGUCUACAUCCUUUUUUGUUUUGAAUUGAUGAGAGUGUGUAAUGUAUUCCACGUUUCCUUGGAGUUCCCAGAAUGUUUACGGAAUUCAUUACUGUCAUAUUUAUUUUUGGCUAGCCUAAGAGAUGCAGUUAGAAUGCUACAGUAGGAAGUGUAUGUUGCAUUAUUUUGGGGACUGGGGUUCUUCAAUUUCUGUUCAAAUAACUUGCUUUCACAUGUAGUUGAUAGAAGAAGUGCAGGUGACACCCAUGGUUCGCAUGAGCUGGUUUUUCUAGAAAUGUACCUUGUGUGAGAAAACCUGGUGAUCCUGGCAUUGUAAAUAUAUACAAUUUGAUUUGCAAUAGCAUCAGGUUCUGGCUCAUUUUCAAUAUCAACAAGAUGAUCAACAAGGAAUUGUUCAAAUUCUUCCAGCCUUCUGUAAUCAAAUGUGGUAAUGGGUGUUUGAACAUCAGGGGAGUGUGGGUGUGAGGCAUAGUUCAUGGAAGCAAAAAUAGGGAAAUGAUCAGAUAAAUCAUGAAGGAGAAUGCCUGUAUGCAUCACUUUUAAUAAGACAUUGCAGAAUAUGUUAUCUAGAAGAGUACAUGAUGGAUAGCAAGAUUGAGUUGUCCUGGAUAUUGUAAGAAAGAAGCCAUUUGAACACAUGUUAGUGAAAAAUGCUUGCACAUUAGGAUUGAUAUCAAGUGAAAACAGAUCAAAGUUGAAAUCACCCAUAAUACAUGUUACUUUGUCCAUUUUUUAAAGCCAAAUUAGGCAUUGCUCUAGCUCUGAGUUGAAGUGGUGUUUGUCAAUGUUGGGUGACCUAUAAAUUUGGCAAAUGAUAAUAUUAGCAUUAUCACAGAGUAGUUCAGCACAAGCCACUUCAGUUGUAGAGAAAACUGGGUUCCAAAGUUGUAUAGGAUGAAGAUGAUCAGCAAUGUAUACUGCUGAUCCACCACCUACCCCUUUUGAUCUGCUGCAGUAAAAAGCUUGGUAUCCAGGUAAGUCAUAAUGAGAUUCCAAAGCUGGAGACAGCCAUGCUUCAGAUAUAGAAAUAACAUGCCAUGUUAUAUCAGUCUGGGCAAGCAGACUACUUAAAUCAUCCUGCUUCUUCAGGAUUGAGCAAAUGUUAACAUGCAUAAGGUUUAGUGCAGUGAUGUUAUGUGGAAUAACAGUUUUUACCUUUUCAGGUAAAUAGAAUGUGCAUGCUUCUCUUACUUUUUCAUAUCCAUCAUAUGAUAGUGAAGGUUCACUACCAUCAAUGUUUGAAGCAAAUGGAUUAAACACCUUACUAUUUGAGGUUGAACCCAGAUAGUAAGGUGUUGAUGGAAAGGAAGAACUUGAGAGCCUGGUCUCAGGCCCAGCCUGCCUGCCUUCAACUGUUACAGACUCUUCAAGAUUAGCAGCUCUGUUUAGCACAUGACCAGCACGAAUGCAGUUCAGGGUCUGAGAGUAUAUGAACCUAUUCUGGCCUGCUACACUUCUGUUCACCAAAGAGGAUAGUAUGGACAGUGGCAUGCCACCACUCCACCCUUUAUGUCUACCUUGAGUUCUUCUUUGAUGACCUUGAGGGCAACACUUCUGGUCUCCUCAGUUGUCUCAUCUGCCUUUGGCUCAGGGAUGCCAUCUCCAC